GGUGAGGUGGCUGAAUUAGGUGAUAGAUUGUAAAUCUAUUUAUGGGGAUGAAACCCCUCUCAUCA
rnacentral:tRNA from 1 species